rnacentral:rRNA from 1 species
GACGAACGCUGGCGGCGUGCUUAACACAUGCAAGUCGAACGGAAAGGCCCUGCUUUUGUGGGGUGCUCGAGUGGCGAACGGGUGAGUAACACGUGAGUAACCUGCCCUUGACUUUGGGAUAACUUCAGGAAACUGGGGCUAAUACCGGAUAGGAGCUCCUGCUGCAUGGUGGGGGUUGGAAAGUUUCGGCGGUUGGGGAUGGACUCGCGGCUUAUCCGCUUGUUGGUGGGGUUGUGGCUUACCAAGGCUUUGACGGGUAGCCGGCCUGAGAGGGUGACCGGCCGCCCUGGGACUGAGAGGCGGCCCCGACUCCUACGGGAGGCAGCAGUGGGGAAUACUGCACCAUGGGCGGCAGGCGGAUGCAGCAACCCCGCGGGCUGGAUGGCGGUCUUCUGGUUGUAAACCGCUUUCGCCUGUGACGAAGCGUGAGUGACGGUAAUGGGUAAAGAAGCACCGGCUAACUACGUG